AUUGCUGUAAAAAUUACAGCAAUAUUUUACAGCAGCAGGCUGUUUUUCUAAUAAUACAGCAUAUUGCUGUAAACUGCAAUGCAUUCUGGGGUCGCGUGACGUUUGACGCAAAUGUACAGCAUAUUGCUGUAAAUUUAAAAUCUACAGAGGUGGGAUCUUCAACGGUUGAGAUUCGGGAGCGGCAAUAGGAAUGAUUCACAACUGUGCAUACUACAUAUUCACCCUGGAGUACCAGGAGACAGCCGGUAACUUGGACAUUCAAAGAUGCUUUGGUGGUAAUAAAUCCAGAGAGAGGAACAAAAAAGUUGAAAGGUUCGAAAAACAAAAGGGCAAAUGGUGCAGAAGAAACAGCUUGAAGUGAACCCACAUGUUGCCACUCUUCUUUGCAAAGUGAAGG